AUUGAACGCUGGCGGCAUGCUUUACACAUGCAAGUCGAACGGCAGCGCGGGCUUCGGCCUGGCGGCGAGUGGCGAACGGGUGAGUAAUGCAUCGGAACGUGCCCAGUAGUGAGGGAUAGCCCGGCGAAAGCCGGAUUAAUACCGCAUACGACCUGAGGGUGAAAGCGGGGGACCGAAAGGCCUCGCGCUAUUGGAGCGGCCGAUGUCGGAUUAGCUAGUUGGUGGGGUAAAGGCCUACCAAGGCGACGAUCCGCAGCUGGUCUGAGAGGACGACCAGCCACACUGGGACUGAGACACGGCCCAGACUCCUACGGGAGGCAGCAGUGGGGAAUUUUGGACAAUGGGGGCAACCCUGAUCCAGCCAUGCCGCGUGCGGGAAGAAGGCCUUCGGGUUGUAAACCGCUUUUGUUCGGGAAGAAAUCCUCUGGGCUAAUACCCCGGGGGGAUGACGGUACCGGAAGAAUAAGCACCGGCUAACUACGUG
rnacentral:rRNA from 1 species